CCCCAGAUAGCAAAGUUUCUGGCACAAAUCUGGCUUACAUUGGGCAUUUAUGGCUAAAUUUAGGCUCUCUUUUGUUGACACCUUUGUGUGAAACAGCUUUCGGGGGAGUUGUGGGGUGAGGCUAGCCAGCCAAAAGCAAAAGGUACAUUUUUGGCUGAGUCCUGGCUUGAGUGUGGUCUGCCAGAAAAUAGUAAAUAUCUGGCAGAGUUCUGGCUAAGGUUUGGUUGGCCAAAGAGUUAAAAAAAAAAACACCAAAAAGUUUUUGUAAAUGUAAAAAGUCUAAAUUAAAUGGCGUUGUCAUGUCAAUUACCAUUGACAAUAUUUAUUUAUUAAAUAGCAGACACUUGUCAAAACCUAUUUAUAUAAAAUCAUAUUUACACUUGAUAAAAACAUCAAAGUUAAUAUUUAAGGCAAUAAUAAAUAUGUUUAUCCUUAUUGAAAGACGAAAUGUAGAAAAUGUUAUUUUGGGCAGUUAAUCCAAAGGUGUCAAUGUGCAAUAUACAAACAAUGCAAUAAACAGAUAAAUGAAUAAUGCAGUCUGUUCUAAUAUACAUCAAACAAAAGUAUUUUAAGUAUGUGUGCUUAUUUAAGUCUAUUUAGUUUUGUAUUUUAUUUUUUUAUAAAUAAAUAAGACUUUACAUUAAAUUGUGUUUACAAUUUAAAAAUACGACUAACUAAUACUAAUAUUUAUUGGUGCACUUUCGUUCCUAAAACAAUGACAUAUAUUGCAAUGCACCUUGGAAAUAGUAGUCAUUUAACCUCAACAGCGUUCAAUACGCCGUGGAAAAUUGACUACCUUUCCCAUAAUGCAACUGGUCAGGAUCAGGAACUUCCGCGAAUUUCAAACCCCCCGCUGUGUACUGGACGGAGGACGCGCGAUCUUUUGUUUUGUGGAGUUUUAUAUAACACAGUAAGUAAGAGACGCAACAUGCAUGACGGGGAUGAUAAAAUAAUCAAUAAGAAGUUUGAAUCUUUAAAAAUAAAUUAAUGCUGAACCCCAAAGAAGCCAACCGAAGAUGAGAUGUUUUCUGUACCAAUCCACAAAUCAACAUUUGCUGAAGUCAUGAACCACACUUUGUCAACAAUAAAUGUUGUUUCUGCAAUCUGGAUAAAGAAUAAUGUGAGUAAAGAAUAAUAAUGAGGUUAAUACACUUAAUUUAAAAACUUAACCGUUUAAAUAAUAAACAAAUGUGUAUGUGUUAAGAUGUUUGAC